GGUACAUAGGAUAUAAUCUGAACAAUUUCUGCAGUAUGGUAUAUAAUACAUUAUUAUUAUUACCAUUAUUGUCACUGUACAAAAAAUAGAGGUGCACUGUAGUUAUAGAGCCUGCACAUACAUGAAAUGGUAUGCGGAAUUAAGAGUGAGUCUCCUGUACAGCUAAAACACAACCACAUUUACUUAUGUAAUAUCUAUCAUUCUAUUUUUGUCUAGAAAGAGCUAAUGAGAUCUGGUUUGACACAAAUGUGACAAUGCAUGUGGAGAAUGAGGCAGUUGGGGACAACUGACGACCAGUACAUCAUGUUUAAAAUAAAUGGUCUUGCUCUGUUACCCAGGUUGGAAUGUAAUGAUGUGAUCAUAGCUCAGUGGAGCCUCAAUUUUCUGAGCUCAAGCAAUCCUCUCACCUCAGCCUCCCUACUCUCUGGGACUACAAGCGUGCAUCACCACAAUUGGCUCCAUUCUGCUUUUAACAAUGGUAUUACAAGAACCAACUGAAAGAUUUCCCAGCAAUCAAAGCAAAAACAAUGUGAGUAACACAGUAAGUACUGAAUUAUAACCCAAAGUAUAUGAUAGAUAUUCAUGAGUCUAUAAUAAUGUGAUUUAUUUCCACUUUUGCAAGACAAAUAAAUAAAUAAACUAAAUAACCUUUGUAUAAAAA
rnacentral:lncRNA from 13 species